rnacentral:rRNA from 1 species
GUACACUCCUACGGGAGGCAGCAGUGGGGAAUAUUGGACAAUGGGCGCAAGCCUGAUCCAGCCAUGCCGCGUGAGUGAUGAAGGCCCUAGGGUUGUAAAGCUCUUUCACCGGAGAAGAUAAUGACGGUAUCCGGAGAAGAAGCCCCGGCUAACUUCGUGCCAGCAGCCGCGGUAAUACGAAGGGGGCUAGCGUUGUUCGGAAUUACUGGGCGUAAAGCGCACGUAGGCGGAUCGAUCAGUCAGGGGUGAAAUCCCAGGGCUCAACCCUGGAACUGCCUUUGAUACUGUCGAUCUGGAGUAUGUAAGAGGUGAGUGGAAUUCCGAGUGUAGAGGUGAAAUUCGUAGAUAUUCGGAGGAACACCAGUGGCGAAGGCGGCUCACUGGUCCAUUACUGACGCUGAGGUGCGAAAGCGUGGGGAGCAAACAGGAUUAGAUACCCGAGUAGUCCC